CCUACGGGCGGCAGCAGUGGGGAAUAUUGGACAAUGGGCGAAAGCCUGAUCCAGCCAUGCCGCGUGUGUGAAGAAGGCCUUCGGGUUGUAAAGCACUUUCAGUGGGGAAGAAAGCCUUGGGGCUAAUACCCUCGAGGAAGGACAUCACCCACAGAAGAAGCACCGGCUAACUCCGUGCCAGCAGCCGCGGUAAUACGGAGGGUGCGAGCGUUAAUCGGAAUUACUGGGCGUAAAGCGCGCGUAGGCGGUCUGAUAAGCCGGUUGUGAAAGCCCCGGGCUCAACCUGGGAACGGCAUCCGGAACUGUCGGGCUAGAGUGCAGGAGAGGAAGGUGGAAUUCCCGGUGUAGCGGUGAAAUGCGUAGAGAUCGGGAGGAAUACCAGUGGCGAAGGCGGCCUUCUGGACUGACACUGACGCUGAGGUGCGAAAGCGUGGGUAGCAAACAGGAUUAGAUACCCUGGUAGUC
rnacentral:rRNA from 1 species